rnacentral:snoRNA from 1 species
ACGACCUUACUUGAACAGGAUCUGUUCUAUAGGCUCGUACCUCUGUGUCCGUAAGUUCAAAGGAGACAGGGUUCCAAGUCUGGUUGAUGAACCAGGACCGUGUGACCUGAGCGUGAUUAUUGGUCUGGUGAUUCCCUUGCUGGUUUCACUUUGACCGCAGAGGAUCGUUCUCAGCUAGCCUUGGGCGGCUGGGAAGGUCACGCAGUUGUCUGACAGACU